rnacentral:rRNA from 1 species
GACGAACGCUGGCGGCGUGCUUAACACAUGCAAGUCGAACGGAAAGGCCCUGCUUUUGUGGGGUGCUCGAGUGGCGAACGGGUGAGUAACACGUGAGUAACCUGCCCUUGACUUUGGGAUAACUUCAGGAAACUGGGGCUAAUACCGGAUAGGAGCUCCUGCUGCAUGGUGGGGGUUGGAAAGUUUCGGCGGUUGGGGAUGGACUCGCGGCUUAUCAGCUUGUUGGUGGGGUAGUGGCUUACCAAGGCUUUGACGGGUAGCCGGCCUGAGAGGGUGACCGGCCACAUUGGGACUGAGAUACGGCCCAGACUCCUACGGGAGGCAGGAGUGGGUAAUAUUGCACAAUGGGCGGAAGCCUGAUGGAGCAACGCCGCGUGCGGGAUGACGGCCUUCGGGUGGAAACCGCUUUCGCCUGUGACGAAGCGUGAGUGACGGUAAUGGGUAAAGAAGCACCGGCUAACUACGUG